rnacentral:rRNA from 1 species
UACGGAGGGUGCAAGCGUUAUCCGGAUUUACUGGGUUUAAAGGGAGCGCAGGCGGGUUGGUAAGUCAGUGGUGAAAUACCCGUGCUUAACAUGGGAACUGCCAUUGAUACUAUCAGUCUUGAAUGUUGUUGAGGUUUGCGGAAUGGGUCAUGUAGCGGUGAAAUGCAUAGAUAUGACCCGGAACACCUAUUGCGAAGGCAGCAGGCUAGACAAAAAUAGACGCUGAGGCACGAAAGCGUGGGGAUCAAACAGG